rnacentral:tRNA from 1 species
GGAGAGAUAUCGAAGUGGUCAUAACGAGCCGCACUCGAAAUGCGGUCGUCAGGAAACUGGCGCAAGGGUUCGAAUCCCUUUCUCUCCGCCA